CAAUAGCGUAUAUUAAAGUUGUUGCAGUUAAAAAGCUCGUAGUUGGAUUUGUGGCGUACGGUGGGUUCCGGGCACUUGUUGUCUGAGUAACCUGCUGUUGCCAUCCUUGGGUGGAACCUGUGUGGCAUUAGGUUGUCGUGCAGGGGAUGCCCAUCAUUUACUGUGAAAAAAUUAGAGUGUUCAAAGCAGGCUUAUGCCGUUGAAUAUAUUAGCAUGGAAUAAUGAGAUAGGACUUUCUUGCUAUUUUGUUGGUUUGCGCAAAGAGGUAAUGAUUAAUAGGGACAGUUGGGGGUAUUCGUAUUCCAUUGUCAGAGGUGAAAUUCUUGGAUUUUUGGAAGACGAACUACUGCGAAAGCAUUUACCAAGGAUGUUUUCAUUAA
rnacentral:rRNA from 1 species